CGUUAGAUCCAUGAAAGGCUGAUGUGAGUUAUGUGAGGGGGUGGAAAGCACUUUUGGCGGUCUCACGUGUUGCUUCGCUGUAAACAUCGAUGAUCUGGAUUUAAUUCAAUUACCCAAACGUAACGAAAUGAUAUCCGAAUUCUUGUGUCGAUGUAAAUAUAGUCGAUCGUGGUAUAUAACGAGAAAAAUUUCUUGUAGUUCGUAAAUAAAAGUAUAUUACACGAUGGAAAAAAGAAGAAUAAACAUACUGUGGCGGCCAUAAUGACGUUUUACUUUUUUUAAUAACAAAAUUGGAAUGAAUUACUAUGGAAUAUGAUACUAUAUAAUGAUACAAUAAUUAAGAAAAAUUCAAGAAUAAUAAGAUCUCUUAUUUCAAUAAUCAGAACCACAGUUUCGAGCAAAAGUAUGAUUUGUAGAAAGUGAAAUUUACUUCGUACUUCAAAACAUUCUUCGUGUAAGAAUUAACGCCACUCAGAUUCUAAUUGAUUUCAUCUUGAAAGAGUUUAAGUGAUGUUAUAGUCGCCUGAGUUUUUUUAUCCUGACAAUGAAAUACGGUCACAUGGAUGAGACGUGGUUUCAAAUUUAUUAACUGUGUGUUACGCAAUUCUCAAUAUAUGCAGAACGUAUUAUCAUAGCUACGAAUUUCUGUGAAAAUACAGAUUUCGUAAUGACAUAAAUUACAAAAUUGCAUAAUCAUAGGAAGGGAGAUAAUUAAAAGUUUCAAUGAGUGAUUUUUAUAUUUCAAAGUUUGUCAAAGUUACAAUUUAAAACUUUUGUGUAAUUUUAUGGAAAUGAAACUAACUAAAAAAAUCUAACUCUUUAAAAGUAAUUCACAAUGAUAAUUCACAACUGGAUAGCUACACAAAGUUUUCAUUUUGCCUCUGUAAUUCAUAAUUCCAAUAAAUCUUAAGACAAUACACUUGGAGAAAAUAUUCAAGUGAAAGCAAUAACACUUGUCCCUUGUAGACCUAAAAUCGAUUUCCCUGCGGCUAUUCACCCCUAUAAAACAUGCAACUGCAGCAGACUAUUGUGAAAUGAUCGAACAAAAAUUUCUGAUUUCAAUUUAAAAUCAAAUUAUCCAACGUCAUAGAAAAUCCGCUCUCAACUAAAGAUUCUGAAUCGGCCAUUUCAUAUGCAACAAUCUAAUAAUAAGUGAAUUACGGUCGAAUACCGUGAACCGAUGUUCAACAGAUGUGAAACGAGAAGCAGGAAUAAAAAGAAAAUAAUCCACACUCGUUAAAUCAGCGUACAGGAGUAGUUUGAGCCAUUACUUUGGAAAGAAAGACGCGAGAAAAAGUUCAAAGGAGUACCGUACGCUUUGAUUAUUGGCACACGCCAUUGCUAAUAGCAGUUGUUCAAAAAUGAACGGGAAACGAGAAAUGUUGGAAUAGUAUUUCGAUAUUUCUUUUCCACUUUAGAAGCUUUGAUAAUUAAGUAAUAUAGAAAAGAAGAUUAUUUCUAAAUAUUUAAGGGAUGAUAUAUCAAGC
rnacentral:lncRNA from 1 species